ensembl:lncRNA
CGCGCCGCUCCGCCCCGCCCCGCCCUGGCCUCCGGCCCCGCCCCCGCUGCCCCAGAGCCGCCGGCCCGGCCUGGGAUGGGGGCGGGGGCGUGGGCCGCAGCCCCUUCCUCUGAACCUCUGGGCCCUGGCGGUGGGGAGAUCUGCAGGGCAGGAGUGCACGGCUCGCAAGGCGUGAGGUGUCUGUUGGAGGGAGCUGUUGCAGGGGACUCCUUUGGCCUCAUCAUGUGCUCCCUUAACCAGUGAAUCCUCCCUGGUUUUGAAGUUCCAGAAAGAGACCGAGCUGAAGGCAGAGAAAGAAUGGCAGUAGUCCUCUUCAUGCUGUAAAUAAGGAGGCAGAAGCCCAGAAGCUUAAAGAUUUGCCAAGAUCACACAGAAAGGCGGGGGUAGAACUAGUCCCAGAAGCCAAAUGUCCUGAAUGUCACUCAGGGUCAGCUGCCUCCAUCUGUCCCCUUGUGCUAGUCACCUCUGCCUCCUUUAGGGUAGGAGUGAAAUGAAGGGCAUGGAGGGGCCCCUUUUUCUAGCCUUGCUUCUAAGCUGCAAAGUGAUUAAAGAGGACUUUGAGUUGUAUAUUUGAAGGAGGUGAUUCUCAACCCAGGCAGAUGGUCCUCCCCACCCAACCUUAGGAAAACCAAGGCUCUGAGGCUCAGAGAAAACUUCGGUUAUUUCUGUUGCCAGAGCUUCCAAAAGGGAGGCUAGUCUGGAGAGAUGGGAGGUUGCAUGCAUGAGUUUCUGGCCUCCCAAUCUAUGUGACCACAGCUCUGACACCUACAAUUCCUUCCUCGAAACCCUUCCAUGGUCCCCAUUGUUUUCAGUAGCCACAGGAUUGAUAUGCCCAGUUGCACAGGCAGUGCACUGCACAAUUUGAAUUAUGAUCUGAAUGGCAUCUCCUGGAGUUGUACAGUUCGCAGCUUACACAACCAUACACAAUGAGCCCAGGUUACAUUUCUCAACAUUUUUGAACACUCAAAUUGUUUUCAUAGUGAUCAGUGACCUCGCAAACCCUUUUUUGAAUAAAGAAGAUAAUUUCAUUUUUCUGCAAGAUGAAGAGAUAUUUUGAGAAAAUUUAUUUUAGAUCAAUCUGAUUCUAAAGAUUGUAUUAGAGAGUUUAUAUUUAACAAGAUUUGUUGCUACUUUGGAUCCUUUCCUAUUUAAUAAAUGAUGCCAACUGUUUAAUAGAAUUUAAAUUAAUUUUGUGGGGAAAAAUUGAGAUUUACAGACAAAUGCAUUGAAAAUAUCUUGUUAGUCUUGGUUUGGAGACUGAAUGUAUGCUGAAAUUGUCAUUAUAUAUUGAAAUUUAACUACAUGCUAUGAAUUAAAAAAUAUAUUUGUUUUCAAUACAGAGGAGUUUAGAAUUUUUGCAUCUUGUGCUUCAAUUUUUGUGAUCUGUUUGGUUAUUUUCAAAACACAUUUUAUGCCUUGUUUCCAAAUGAAGAGAUAAGAGAAAAGAUAUCAUCUCCUCAAAUAAACCAUUUCAGGUAUGAAUAGCUGUUAUUUUGAAAGAUGAAAAGCUAAAAUGGCUAUAUUUUCUCUUUUUCCUGUGGUUUUCGAAGUACUAGAGGCAUCUUGAUGUUGUGCAUAGAUUAUUUUGUUUGUUUGUUUGAACAGGUGUUACAUAAACAGUGU